rfam:Ixodes scapularis strain Wikel colony gcontig_1108379135582, whole genome shotgun sequence.
UCCUGAUUAGCUCAGUUGGUAGAGCACUCCACUGAAAAUGGAGAGGUACCUGGUUUGAUACCAAGACCAGGUG